UACGUAGGGUGCGAGCGUUAAUCGGAAUUACUGGGCGUAAAGCGUGCGCAGGCGGUUUUGUAAGCCAGAUGUGAAAUCCCCGGGCUUAACCUGGGAAUGGCAUUUGGGACUGCAAGGCUGGAGUGUGGCAGAGGAGACUGGAAUUCCUGGUGUAGCAGUGAAAUGCGUAGAUAUCAGGAGGAACACCUGUGGUGUAGACGGCUUACUGGACCAUGACUGACGCUGAGGCACGAAAGCGUGGGGAGCAAACAGG
rnacentral:rRNA from 1 species